ACCUGCGGAAGGAUCAUUGUCGUGACCCUGACGAAAAAGAAACUGUGAAUGUGUCACCUAUGUGGUUGAGUUACGGCUGUUACGUUGUCUCUCAGCCUGGGCCCUAGUCCCUCUUACGGAGGGUAGUGCCCAACAGAACCCACGGCGCUGGAUGGCGUCAAGGAACACCAAUGCUGCUAGCUUGGGUUAGGGCCAGCCUGCUGGACAAACCUGUGCUGCAAUGAUACAUUAAUUUAUAAGACUCUCGGCAACGGAUAUCUUGGCUCUUGCAUCGAUGAAGAACGUAGCAAAAUGCGAUACCUGGUGUGAAUUGCAGAAUCCCGUGAACCAUUGAGUUUUUGAACGCAAGUUGCGCCUGAGGCCUUUAGGUCGAGGGCACGUCUGCCUGGGCGUCACGCAAAAGUCACUCCACUAGCAUCCUAGUUGGAUGUGGCAUCCGGUCUUCCAUGACGCUUGAUAUGGUAGGCUAAAGUAAGAGGCUGCUGGUCAUGGCGUCACAACACGUGGUGGAUAACAUAGUUUGUUCUCAUAGUUGUGACUUGGAUUGCCCUCGGUGGCAUUGACCCCUAAAUCCCAUGUUGCUCGAGAAUUGAUUGCUUACACCGCGACCCCA
rnacentral:rRNA from 1 species